GACGAACGCUGGCGGCGUGCCUAAUACAUGCAAGUCGAGCGAAGUUUUUCUGGUGCUUGCACUAGAAAAACUUAGCGGCGAACGGGUGAGUAACACGUAAAGAACCUGCCUCAUAGACUGGGACAACUAUUGGAAACGAUAGCUAAUACCGGAUAACAGUAUUUCUCGCAUGAGAGAUAUUUAAAAGUUGGUUAUGCUAACACUAUGAGAUGGCUUUGCGGUGCAUUAGCUAGUUGGCGGGGUAAAGGCCCUCCAAGGCGACGAUGCAUAGCCGACCUGAGAGGGUGAUCGGCCACACUGGGACUGAGACACGGCCCAGACUCCUACGGGAGGCAGCAGUAGGGAAUCUUCCGCAAAGGGCGAAAGCCUGACGGAGCAACGCCGCGUGAGUGAAGAAGGAUUUCGGUUCGUAAAGCUCUGUUGUUAGGGAAGAAUGGAUAUGUAGUAACUAUACAUGUAAGAGACGGUACCUAACCAGAAAGCCACGGCUAACUACGUG
rnacentral:rRNA from 1 species